CCUACGGGAGGCUGCAGUGAGGAAUAUUGGUCAAUGGGCUUACGCCUGAACCAGCCAAGUCGCGUGAGGGAAGACUGCCCUAUUGGUUGUAAACCUCUUUUGUCAGGGAGCAACGCCGGCUACGUGUAGCCGGACUGAGAGUACCUGAAGAAAAAGCAUCGGCUAACUCCGUGCCAGCAGCCGCGGUAAUAAGGAGGAUGCGAGCGUUAUCCGGAUUGAUUGGGUUUAAAGGGUGCGUAGGCGGAAUGCCAAGUCAGCGGUAAAAUCGCGGGGCUCAACCUCGCUCCGCCUUUGAAACUGGCGUUCUUGAGUGGGCGAGAAGUAUGCGGAAUGCGUGGUGUAGCGGUGAAAUGCAUAGAUAUCACGCAGAACUCCGAUUGCGAAGGCAGCAUACCGGCGCCCAACUGACGCUGAAGCACGAAAGCGUGGGUAUCGAACAGGAUUAGAUACCCGAGUAGUC
rnacentral:rRNA from 1 species